GAGUUUGAUCGUGGCUCAGGAUGAACGCUAGCGGCAGGCUUAAUACAUGCAAGUCGUGGGGCAGCAUGAAUGUAGCAAUACAUUUGAUGGCGACCGGCAAACGGGUGCGGAACACGUACACAACCUCCCGAGAAGUGGGGGAAUAGCCCCAGAGAAAUUUGGAUUAAUACCCCGUAACAUAGUUGAAAUGGCAUCAUUUUACUAUUAUAGUUUUAUUACGCUUCUUGAUGGGUGUGCGGCUGAUUAGAUAGUUGGCGGGGUAACGGCCCACCAAAGUCUACGAUCAGUAGCUGAUGUGAGAGCAUGAUCAGCCACACGGGCACUGAGACACGGGCCCCGACUCCUACGGGAGGCAGCAGUAAGGAAUAUUGGCAAUGGGCGGAAGCCUGAACCAGCCAUGCCGCGUGAAGGAUUAAGGUCCCCUGGAUUGUAAAACUUCUUUUAUCUGGGACGAAAAAAGGCGAUUCUUCGU
rnacentral:rRNA from 1 species